UCACGAAAGAAGCAGCCAAAGCUGUUUUGGUAUCUUCGUCGUCGCCCUAACCCUAAUCACCCCAUCACCACCCACCCCUCCCCCCCAAAUCGAACCAUCGUCAUGGCCAGCGAGGAGUCGCCGUCGCCGACCUCAAGCGGCAAGCACUGCCGUUCGGCAGACGAUCAUGAGGCCGAGACAUCGUCGAAGCGACGGAAGCACCGUCACCGUCACCAUCACCGCCAUCACAGCAGACGCGGUCGCGAGAGUGAUGACGGGGCCGAGGAGGCCGCUCGGCUUGCGGAGGCGGUGACUGCUUCUUGUCCCGUUCCGAAGCCUGCUGAUGAGGAGCGAGAGGAGGGUGAGAUUCUCGAAGAUGACGAGGAGAUGGCCAACCUUGAUCAUACUAAAGUCGAUGGCUUCGUGACCGAUGGGGUUUCCGACUCUGGAUCGGGUGAAAUCAAGCCUGACGGCGUCGAUGUUUAUUCCAAUCUGAUUGUGCCUGGGGUGAAAGAUAGUUCUGGGAAAAAUGUUUUGGUGCUUAGUAAUAAGCAGAACACACUGAAAGAUGAAAAGAUGUUGGACCUUGCUUGGUCAUGUGAGAAUUCUAGUUUGAAUGAUACAGCUUGGAUGGAGGUAGAUACGUCAGAUGGAGAAAAUUGUGUCUGGAAGGCUGAGAGUAUAACAAAAUCAUUAGAACUAAAUGACAACAAGCAAAUGCAAACUGACAGAAAUGAUUCAGAAAGUCAAGUAAGAUCAAGAUCUCCGGUUUCUAAAGAAAGUUCUCAUGCAGCAAAGGACAGGAUGAGUUAUGACCAUGUGAAAAAAACUUCUGACAGUGACUCAGAUAAGGUUGACUCAAAGCAGUAUAUGGAGUCAAAGGAUGCUAACAGAAGAGCAACUGAUAGGAACAGGUCAGUGUCGCCCAAAAGUUCGCAAGAAAGGUACAAGAACACUAGAAGGUCUCCAGCGUCCAUCAGGUACCAUGUUGAAGACAAAUAUAGGGAUAAGUCCAGGCCUAUUGAUCAUAGAAAGAGGAGAUCAUAUGAAAAGGUCUCAGAGCAUUCAGACAUGGGUGAUGAUCAAGUUGGUUUGCAGGAAAGUAAGAGGGAUUAUUCCAAUAGGCAGCAUAAGUUGGACAGAUGUGCAGCUAGAAAUCGAGUAAGUGAUAUAGAGAUUCCUAACGAAAGAGAGAGUAGUGGCAAAAGAAGACAUGAUGACAGGCACAGAAGUCAGGAAAGGGAUAAGGAGAGGGAAAGAAGUAGUAGUAGUGUCAGAGACACAGAUAAAACACAGUUGGAUAAAAGGUCUCACAGGGAAAAAGAGAGGAGUAGCAAUCAUAGCAGAUAUGACAGACAAGCAGACAAGCAUGAAAUUUGGGACAGAGAAAGUGGGAAAGAAAAAUACAGCUUCAGCACAAGAGACAGAGUAAGAGAUAAACCAAGGGAUUUGAAUAGGGAGAAAUAUGUAGAGAGGGAGAGGUUAAGGGAGAGUAAGCAUGAAAAAAAACGGGAUGAUAGUGAUAGAGAUAAGAAUAAGUCUAGGGACAGGGAAAUUAUUGCUCAUAAGGGUAAAGAACAUGGUGAUCAAAUGGAAACAGAUAGGAUUAGUAGCAGGUAUAGACAUAGGGAAUCUAGGCAUCCAAAGUACGAUGAAGUAGAGCAUCACAAGGAUAAAUCACGUUCGGAGGCUGGUUUCAAAAAAGACAAUUCUGACAAAGACACACAAAAGUCUAUUAGGGAGGAGGAGGAAGAGGAAGAUUACCAAGAUAAAAUUGAACAACAGCUUGCUAAGCAGGAUGAAGAUGAUGUUGACAUGAUUAAAAAUGAGAGCAGAAAAAGGAGGCAGGCUAUCUUGGAAAAAUAUCAACAGCGGCAGCUACAGCAAGUUGAAUCCUCAUCUGAUGGUAAUGUGAAUGAAUCUGAGAAAGCCACUUCGGAUAAGGAGAAUCUACAGGGAUUGCUUGGUAUGAGUGUUGAUAACAAAGUGAAUAAUGAAGAGCUUGAGAAUAGGGAUGACUCCAGAAAUGUAUUUGAUGUUGGUCCAUCGUUUUCUGUGGGAAAGUCACCUGUACAGAAUGGAGAUUUAGCUGAUAAGAAAAUGAACAAUGUUGGGGGACUUGGAGAGGGUACUCCAAAGAGUGAAAUAUCAGCCGAUAUGUUUACUGAUGACAUGUUUGGAGAAUCACCAGCUGGAGUUUGUGUGAAGGGAAAGUGUGAAGGACCACAGAUAGACAGAAGUUAUCUUCAUGACAACUGGGAUGAUGCAGAGGGUUAUUAUAGUUACAGGUUUGGGGAAGUACUCGAUGGUCGCUAUGAAGUUGUUGCAGCACAUGGAAAGGGUGUCUUCUCAACAGUUGUUCGUGCUAGGGAUCUCAAGGCUGGGAAAGGUGACCCUGAAGAAGUGGCUAUUAAAAUGAUUCGCAACAAUGAUACCAUGUACAAGGCAGGUCAGGAUGAACUUGUUAUAUUGAAGAAAUUGGUAGGCGCUGAUCCCGAGGACAAACGUCAUUGUGUUAGGUUUCUUUCAUCUUUCAAGUAUCGGAAUCAUCUUUGCUUAGUUUUUGAAUCUCUUCAUAUGAACCUUCGUGAGGUUCUAAAGAAAUUUGGUCGUAACAUUGGGCUAAAACUGACUGCUGUGAGGGCCUAUGCAAAGCAGCUUUUCAUUGCGCUGAAGCAUCUCAGAAAUUGUGGCGUUCUGCACUGUGACAUUAAACCGGAUAAUAUGCUGGUAAAUGAGCCCAAAAAUGUGCUCAAGCUUUGUGAUUUUGGCAAUGCUAUGUUCGCGGGUAAGAAUGAGAUUACACCCUACCUUGUUAGCCGCUUUUACCGUGCCCCAGAAAUAAUUCUUGGAUUGCCAUAUGAUCAUCCAAUGGACGUGUGGUCGGUUGGUUGCUGUCUAUAUGAACUGUACACAGCGAAAGUACUCUUUCCUGGUCCAUCAAACAAUGACAUGCUUCGACUACACAUGGAGUUAAAGGGUCCUUUCCCCAAAAAGAUGCUUCGGAAGGGUGCCUUCACAGAUCACCAUUUUGAUCAAGAUUUAAAUUUUCAUGCCACUGAGGAGGAUCCUGUUACAAAGAAGCCUGUUAAGAGACUGCUGAUAAAUAUUAAGCCAAAGGACAUCGGCGCUCUCAUGUCAGGCUUUUCUGAGGAGGAUCCCAAAAUGUUAUCAAAUUUUAAGGAUCUUCUAGAUCGAAUAUUUGUAUUGGAUCCAGAAAAGAGGAUGACAGUAUCUCAGGCAUUAAGUCAUCCAUUUAUCACGGGCAAGUGAAAUAAGAUGCUGAUUUUCCUGACUCUAGAAAUGUUGUUCAGCUAUGAGUCUACCAUGUGAUCUAUAUUGAUAUUUCCCAUCUAAUUCUUCGGCGUUUAUUCUGUCUUUUCACUGCUUGGUGGAGCUUGGUGGAUCGCGUUGAAGAGGAGUUGAAAGGAUCAUUUGUUUUAAAGCCUUUCUUCAUGGGAGUUCUUAACAUGGGAUGUGUUUCUGUUUCUUGGUUCUGCCAGGGCUAUGUGGCUAUCAACAGUGUUUUAGAUGCUAGAAGACAACCAAAAAAAGAUGGGAGAUUGCUGGAAGCAUUGCUUGUGCUGUUGAAAUCAAUGUACACUGGCCUACUAGUUGGCUUUGACAAAAGAUUGAAGGGAAUACGAAGAGAAGAAGAGGAAGAUGAGGUGGAGUGAGAGAAGUAGAGUGAAGUCCGACUGAGGUAGCAGCAAUGCAAUGGGAUGUGAACAGGCAGGGGCGGUGGAGCAGUGCGAAGCAGUAGUGAGAAGGAAGGCGUGGAGAAGGGAGAGAAUGAGAGAUAGACAGGGUCUAGUUACAUGGGACGGAAGAUUAAAGAAAAAGAAAAAGGAAUGACAACCAUAAAAAGAAUGAUAGGGGUACUAGGUGGUAUGCUAAUUACCCUGUACCCCCGGUUUUAACUAUUAAAACCUGGUGGCAAUCCUGGUUUGGUAGGGAUGUUAGACAAUUAUUCUUCCUCUGAACCAGAUUGGGGGAAAUGAUCCAAUUUGUAAUCCUUUUUCUGGUUGGAGAGGUAAAUAGUGACUGGUAUGAACUGGUCUAAUUGGUUUUGUUAUUCAUGACUGUGGAUAGGCUGUUCUUUGUCUGAAUUCACCAAAGCAAAACAUAAUUACGAGAGUUUGUCUGACCACUUCCAAUGAAAGUGUUGGCCACUGUUCAUUAAGUGCUUCUUUAUACUGUUUAGUUCCAUGUAACAAACAAUUUAAAGUUAUCAAAUCAUUUGAAAUCAUUUGUUAGAUUUUGCUAUCGACUUUCAGUGAACCAAACUGGUUCAUGAUUAAGCCUUGUGCUUCUGUUUAUUUCUGAUGAACCAGACGCACUAUUGGAAAAGUCUUUGCUGGAUUGUAGACUUUUCUGUAUGCAUGUAUUGCCCAUAGAAGGGCAAGCCUUGGUGCCAUGACAAGUUUGCUUGUUUGCAACUUGGGUGGCCAGAGUUCAAGUCACAGAAACAACCUUGCAAAGGUAAGACUGUGUACAUGGCAAUCUGAGAUCCCACACAAGUGAGAAUCUCUAUACACUGGGGUCAUCCUUUGUUGUGUAUUGUUGCCACCAUUAAUCAUAUGCUAAAUAGGAGGCAAGGGAUGGACCCAUGAUUUGUGGACUUCUUCUAAUCUAGAGGAUUUGAUGAGUAUUAUUUUCAUAUUAAUACUCCUUAUGCGGCCAAGGCUACUGGCAAGUUGCCUUGAUCUGUUUAAUUUUUUAAAGAGUGCAAACAUUUGGAAUUAUUGAAGUUUAGGGUGUUGGUUUUCCACGAUUAGAACUUUAAAUGCCCAGCUACAAGCAACUACCAAACUGUAAUUACUUUUAGAUGCCUAUAAAGUGGGUGCUGACUUGCAGUUGUGACUACAACCUAUAGUCAAAUUGGAAAAUUACCUAUGAAUAAUGCCAAUGCAAGUGAUUUUUCAGACAAGUGUAGUAAAUUUCUUCUAUAGCGUGCAAAAAUUGCAUUUGCAAUUGCAAACCGGUUCGAGGCAAGCAAAUACACUUAUAUUCGCAAAUCAAUGCAUUCCUUUUCACAUGUAAUUGCAGAAGCAUAGGUGACCAAACAUGUCCUUAAUAUGAUUCCUGUUGUGCUAGUUGCAGUAUGCUAUUAUUGAAAUUUGAAAGGUUGUUCAGCUGUCAAGUUCAUGUCUUCUAAUAUUUCACAGUUCAUCAUUAUAUUUUGGGGCUACUAAUUUGAAGUUUAUUAAGGGAGACAAUGAACCCUUCCUUGAGAAGGAAAAAGGAUUAUGUAAUUUUUCUCUUGUUUACUUGUUGAAAUUUAUUGGAAAGAUGGCUUCACUCUCUGGGCAAAUUCCGCAUAGUGGGAGCCUUGCACUGGGAACUUUUUUAAGUUUCACUUUGUAGCCAAUUUAUUUAGAACACAAAUUAAGGGGAUGCAUGAAAAUAAGUUGCAUGGGAAUUAAUUCAACAAAUUACCUCAAUAGGACCAUAUUUGCCUCUAUGUUUCGUCAAUGUGAUUCCAAGAAGUAAACAAAGUAAAAGUGAAUUAUGUUUACAAGGGUAACCUUGUUGACACCGAUGUGAGACAACCUGGUUUGCAAGAUUUUCUUGAUUUGAGCUCAACAUAGUUUGUUUCAUUUGGGAACAUAUGUUUUGUUUCUUUAACAAGGACAUAUUGUUAGUGAAAGGUACUCUAGUUGGUUAUAACUGCAGACUUGCAGCUUUUUGGUUAUAUAUUUUGGCUAGUUUGGUUUUAUUUCAUUUGGCUGAAGUUGCAGUGGUGAUAUCAGAUUGUUGUUGUUUGUGAAUUACAAAGGGUGAGAAGCUUCAUUCUUUUUUCUUUGAUUUUUGAAUUACCAAGGAUGAGAAACUUAAGCAUCAUCAAUUUGUGGGGUCCAUUUGUUGUUGGAGGAUGAGCAGGUUGGUAAAUUUCUUUGGGAUUAUGAUUUUGUAAUUCAUUGCUGGUGCAAUCUUUCUUUCUCAAAAUUCAAGCAGCUUAAUCGUUUCUACUUGGCUUUGAUGCUUAAUCAUGUCACCUUGUUGUAUUUAUUUUUCUAUGGCCCGAUUGCCUUUUAAUGCAAGCUUGCAACAUUUUUUUUUUCACAUAACAAGGUGCAGGAGUGCCUGUCCACCUUCGUCCAUCUUUUCCCUUUCUUUGUUUUCUUCCAUCAAUCCAUGUGCUGUAUUCUCCUCCAACAAUCAAUCCAAUGCUUACCUCUGUUCACAGCUGGAGUUGUAUUAGAUAGUGUCUUGAUUUAUUAUAUGGUAUCACUUGUAGGUAGGACCAGAACAAUUCAUGAAACUUUUAUUUUCAGGCAUUACAUUAUCAACUGAAUGCAAGAGAAGUUGAGUUUCUGUUGGUUGGUAUCUGCUUCUGGUGCAAUUUAUCAACUUAAUGCAUUUUUACCACAAAAACGGAAUCAACAUACAUGCUUUAAUUACCAUGGCAAAUUUUUUGUCAUCAUGCAGUGAAUAUUUUGAUGCACAGAGGAUGUGUAAAAUCAAACUUGCAUAUAUACGUCUGUCUAGAAUUAUUGAUGCUAUUUUUAGUUUGAUUGUAUCAAUCAGGUUCUUUUUAACUUCGGGUAUUUCUUUCAAAACCAUUGAGAUUCUCACCAUUUUGAUGUCAGUAAAAAAUCUACUAAGAUUGAAGCGAUCUUUUCAUGUACUGUGUGAAUGGUCAUCCUUAAGGAGCAUAUCCAAAUAUUUAUCAUCACAUGAGGUUUGAUAUUAUUUGUGAAGUUGGGAUGAUCGAGUUUAGACCAUCUUUGACUCAGGCCUGACUAUUUGAAAUAGUUCACCUUUCCCAGAGAGCUUUAUUGGCUAUUUGCUGACCUUUAGUGAGACAAAAUGUGUAAUUUUAUUUUAAGUGUGAAGGAACUUGGAAUUUUCAAGCAGUGGCAUUUGCAUCUGGAUGAUUAGUAUAGUUUCUCUGCUACAGUUCUGCUUGAUCUUCACCAUCUUUUUUAGUAGUUGCAACUAGAUUAUAGAGAUAAUCUGGAAAGAUGGAAGGGGGUAGAGAUUGGAAGGAGGGCCAUAUUGUCUAGAUCAGAAACAUGGAGAUGAAAUGUUUGUACAUUCAAUCCUCUUUCCUUUGUGUCACAUAAACAUAACUAGGUCGACAGGAUAGAAAUUUCACUUGGUACUGGGACUUAAUUAUAUAUGCCUGGCAUGGGACUUGUCUGUAAACCAAACCUGGCAGUCCUGGUGUG